UCUCUCUCUCUCUCAUAAUUUUCUUUUUUGGUUUCUCCAUUCCUUCUUCUUCCUCUUCUUCUUCUUCUUCUUCUUCUUUUUCCUCACCCUUUGUCCCUGUCCAUACCCAGCUACCCAACCCUGGUCCUCUUCCUCUUCCCCCUCCUCCUUCUUCAUCUCCUCCCCUUCUUCUUCUCCUUCUCCUUCCCAGCUCUGUUCCCUGACUGCAAUUUCUUUCUUUCGGGCAUUUCCAAAAGUGACACCAGAGGUCCUUAUCCACAGGCAUUUUGGCCCCUCCCUGCCACUAUCUCCAAGGCCACAGAGGAGAGACUAGCGAGGUUACAGUAUUUCCAAGGCCAGUCAGGUUACUAUAUUUCCAAGGCCAGUCAGGUUACUAUAUUUCCAAGGCCAGUCAGGUUACUAUAUUUCCAAGGCCAGUCAGGUUACUAUAUUUCCAAGGCCAGUCAGGUUACUAUAUUUCCAAGGCCAGUCAGGUUACUAUAUUUCCAAGGCCAGUCAGGUUACUAUAUUUCCAAGGCCAGUCAGGUUACUAUAUUUCCAAGGCCACAGCACUCAGAUUUACUUAUUUCCAAGGCCUCAGAGGAGUGAUUAGCAAGGUUACAAUAUUUCCAAGGCCAGUCAGGUUACAAUAUUUCCAAGGCCUGUCAGGUUUACAUAUUUCUAAGGCCACAGAAAAGAGCUUAGUCAGGUUAAUGUAUUUCCAAGGGUAUAGAAGAGGGAUCAGCUAGGUUUGCAGAGAGGUUCAUCAGGUUUAAUGUAUUUCCAAGGGCCACAGAGAGAUAAUAUUCAGGUUAAUGUAUUUCCAAGGGUGUAGAAAAGAGAUCAGUCAGGUUUGCAGAGACUUGUCAGGUUUAAUGUAUUUCCAAGGCCACAGAAGAGAUAAAGGCCAAGUUAUAAUAUUUCCAAGGCCACAGAAGAGAUGAUUGUCAGGUUACAGUAUUUCCAAGGCUACAGCAGACAUAUUUGACAGGUUCCAAGGCCACAGAAGAGAUGAGAGUCAGGUUCCAAGGCCACAGAAGAGAUGAGAGUCAGGUUACAGUAUUUCCAAGGCUACAGCAGAGAUAUUUGACAGGUUAUUUCCAAGGCCACAGAAGAGGUGAUAGGUGUAAGUACUUCCUGGUGGCUUUUUAAGAUGUAUUUUCAACUUUCUGACUUCACAAGAUCGACUUUUUCUCUACUUGCUGACUUCAUGAGACCCAGCAACUAUUUGACUCUUCUGUUUACUUACCAAUGCCCACCUACUUACCCUAAUGCCCACCUACUUACCCUAAUGCCCUCCUACUUACCCUAAUGCCCACCUACUUACUAUAAGGCCCACCUACUUACCCUAAUGCCCUCCUACUUACCCCAACACCCUUUCCCAUGCCCACUUACCCCGACUCCCUUUCCCCUCCCCACCUACUUAUCUCAACACCCUUUCCCAUGCCCACCUACUUACCCUAAUGCCCACCUACCUACCCUAAUGCCCUCCUACUUACCCCAACACCCUUUGCAUGCCUGCCUACUUACCCCAACACCCUUUCCAUGCCCUCCUACUUAUCCCAACACCCUUUCCCAUGCCCACCUAAUUACCCUAAUAUCCUCCUACUUACCUGAAUGUCCUCUUACUUACCCCAACACCCAUUCCCAUGCCUACCUACUUACCCUAAUGCCCUUUUCCAUGCACACCUACUUACCCUAAUGCCCUUUUCCAUGCACACCUACUUACCCUAAUGCCCUUUUCCAUGCACACCUACUUACCCUAAUGCCCUUUUCCAUGCACACCUACUUACCCUAAUGCCCUUUUCCAUGCACACCUACUUACCCAAUGCCCACCUACUUACCCCAACACCUUUCCCAUGCUUAUCCUAUCCUGGCAUCCAUCAGUUCUGUUGUUCUCCCAUCCUUACAUCCUAUCCUAUCCUAUCCAUACAGUCCAUCCUUGCAUCCUUCAGCCUGUCCUUCCAUCCUACUGAGUGUUGAUAUCCUGCACCUCCAUGGAAGCAAUCACCCUCUCUUCCUCCUCACGACACAACUUUUGACCCACACUGUACUUCACUGCAUCAACAAACACUUAUUUUUGGGGCACUCCACUUGCUGACCAUUGUGUGUGUGUGUGUGUGUGUGUGUGUGUGUGUGUGUGUGUGUGACUUGACCUCUUUUUCUUCUUCUUCCUCCUCAUCAUCAUCAUCUUAUUUUUCUCCCUUUUCUUUUCCUUUUUCUUUUCCUUCCAUGUUUUCUUUCUUAGACCUCUGAGGCUUCAUAGGUUUUUCUUCCUUCCUUCCAUUCUUUCAUUAUUUUUAUCCCUAUUUCAUUGCACUUUUUCCUUGGUAGGGGGUGGUGGUGGUGGUGGUGGUGGUGCAUGCGUGGUAAUAUUAGUGGUGGUGGUGUGAUGUAAGGAGAAACAGAAGCAAUGAUAUUAACCCAAGCACACACAACCCUUCAGUGAGCCUUCUGUGUGGGCCGGCCUGGGUGUGCUCACUGCCUUGGCUUCCUUUACGUUCCCUCACCCUUCAAUACCUGUGUCACACCAGUCUCGGGACCAGUUUGACAGCCCAACACAGAGCCAUGGUCAGCUCCCACACCAAACUUUUUUCUCCACAAUGGUCCUAAAAAGAUUUCCUGUGUGUUGUUUCUGAAGUAUUCCUCCUUUCUACAUCAACGCCAAACACUAUGCAGGGAAUUUUUGCAGUAUUUUGUGUUUGGUUGGAAGCGGACAAGUCAGGUGGGGCCAGAUUCAUCAAGCCACUACAAGACCGGUCAUUGGUAAGUCUUUUAGUAAAUCUGUCCUCUACGAAUGACCCUUGUGUUUGGGCCACUCUGAUGACAGUGAAUGAAAUACUGGCCUGGUCGACACUUCUUUCACUGCCAUUGGACUCGCUGUAAGAUCAAGAGCGUUCCUAAAUGAUGGAGUUACCGGAAGACUUACCAACAACAGGUCUCGUAAGUGGUUUGAUGAAUCUGACCUCUGGAUUGGAUUAACAUUGGCCCUUAACCCGGUAGCAGCGACGGGACAAUUCUGUGUCUUUACCGUGUGGCAGCGACGGGACAAUUCUGUGUCUUUACCGUGUGGCAGCGACGGGACAAUUCUGUGUCUUUACCGUGUGGCAGCAACGGGACAGAUUUUUGCCAUGAUAUAAACCCCCCAAAAUAGAUGAUGCAUAAACUGAUCACAAAUGCUUUGAUAUAUAUUAUGAAAUGGCUUGCGUGAGUGAUGAUUUUUUCUCAUUUUUUUCGCUUGGAGGGAAGGGCCUUUAAGAUCACAAUCCCUGCAGCUACCGGGUUAACCUAAUUUAACCCGGUAGCAGCGACGGGACAAUUUUGUGGCUUUACCGUGUAGCAGCGACGAGACAGAUUUUUGCCAUGAUAUAAACCCCCAAAAUAGAUGAUGCAUAAACUGAUCACAAAUGCGCUGAUAUAUAUUAUGAAAUGGCUUGCAUGAGUGAUGAUUUUUUCUCAUUUUUUUUGCUUGGAGGGAAGGCCCUUUAAGAACACAAUCCCUGCAGCUACCGGGUUAACCUAAUUUAACUUAACUUAGUCUAACUUAGGGCCACUUCGACAGUCCAACACGGAGUCAGUCAGCGCCCAAACCGAACUUUAUCCUCCACAAUGAUCCGUUUUACUCAACACCAGAUCCUAAAGAGAUUUUCUGUGUGGUUUCCCAAGUAGGAUCGAGGAUGUUCAGCGUAGGAGAAGGUGACAGCUGAGUGUUGUUGAAGAAUAGGGGAUAGUUUUUUUAGUUUUUUACAGCAGAGGAAUCAAGUUUUUUUAGUUUUUUACAGCAGAGGAAUCAAUUCAAGGGCACAAAAAAGGAAACAUGUGAAAAAAAAGCCUAUGUCGAGUUGAUAGGUGGAGAAAUUGAGUUUUUGAGAGGCGUUGAAGGACACCAGGUUGUUCUUGCCCCAUUCCUCCUUUUCACAUCAACGCCAAACACUACACAGG